UCAAACGCGAUGACUGGGUAAUAUGGCUUCGGCGCAAGCGCAGAGAGGGGAUGGCUGGUGAAAAUCCCCGUGAGCCGCGGCAGGAACGUCGCCCACGAGCAGCUCUCCUGAACGGAUUUCUAUUAAGGGGAGACGGCAUCCCGCCGUUACCGGGCUUGAGCGCGCAGGCAGUCUGCCUGCGAAGUUAGGUGGUACCACGGAGCAUGACUUCGUCCUAAUC
rnacentral:ncRNA from 1 species